UUUGGAGGAGACUUGUAUAGCGCAUCACUAACAAAGGAAGGGUUUAGUCUCUAAGUACCUCUACUAUAGUAAGGGUUAUCUAAAUGGACCAUUGUGGAUAACUUUUUAUAAUGGUUAUAUCAAGAAUGAAAAUGAGACCGAGAAGACUGUAGGUGAAAUUGGGGAAAAAUACCAACAUUAGAGUUCAGAUAUUGGGGGAUUCUGGAAGCUGUAGUUCUAAUACAUCUGCAGCCUCUCUCUCUACAACUCCCAGUUCCCCCAUCAAUUCUCACCUUCAGUCAUCUGUCACCAACACACCAGAACUAUCUGACAGGACUUCUUCUAAAAUCUCAAAAAAUGAAUUGAAAUGGAUUAUUUCAUGAUGGGUCUCAGUGUUCUCUAUUAAUUCUUUUCAUGUUAAGUCAUGAAGAUAGUUCCUUACUUCUUGAGACAGAAUUUGGAAGUAUGCCUAGAAAAAUUCAUGUGCUGUCAGAAACAACUGCUGAACUCCCAGGAUAAUGUAAGGAAACAUGUCUCCCCCCAGCUCUGGUCUUUCCUGCAUGUUUAUCCAGCAGUUACAUCACAAAACAAUGAGAAUUUUGCACAUCAAAGUUGGGACUUCUUCACCUCAUUGGACUGAACACAGAGAGAGGAAGUUUUCAAACAGAGCAGCAAAGAAAAGGCCCAUAGCAUCUUCCUUGCGACUUCAUAGGUGCAUGUCCUUGCCCAUAUUAGCUGCAUACAUGAGUCAUUACCUUUGAAGUCACAUGCAUUUCACUCCAAUGCUUUCUUAACAGCCUUUUUUGAGAGUCAGAUCCAAACUGGGAACAAAAGCUGUGGGACAAAACAUUCCACAAAGAAUGGGCCUUUGAAAGGAGAAUAAAGUUACAGGCAAGUUAAUGACAAGCAACAGGAACUUGCUGUUUUCCCUAGAAAGACAAAAGCAACAUUGCAAUGUGCCAUCACAAGCUAGGCCCCUUUGAGGCAUGAGUACAAGCUCACAAUUCACAUAGAAAAGGACCAGGAUUGAAUCAUGGCUGUACCAUGCUGGUAACAUCAGUUUGACUUCUGUUGGCAUCCCUACAGACGCCAGUGCUUACUGAACAAGAUGCCAGUCUCUUUUGCUUAGUAUUAUCCAAUAUUAUCUUAUUAAAGAUUUGACUCAUGAA